AGCUCCAAUAGCGUAUAUUAAAGUUGUUGCAGUUAAAAAGCUCGUAGUUGGAUUUCUGGCUGGGCAUGUGGGUCCGCUAUUACGAGUGUGCACCAUACAUGUCUGGCCAUCCUUUGGGAGAGCCACGGUGGCAGUAAGUUGUUAGUGUGGGGAUACCAAUUCUUUACUGUCAAGAAAUUAGAGUGUUCAAAGCAGGCUUACACCGUUGAAUAUAUAAGUAUGGAAUAAUAACAUAGGACUUUUAUACUAUUUUGUUGGUUUGCACAUAAAAGUAUUGAUUAACAGGGACGGUUGAAAUUAUUUGUGUUCUGUUGGCAGAGGUGAAAUUCUUGGAUUUUUGGAAGACAACUUACUGUGAAAGCAUUUACCAAAGAUGUUUUCA
rnacentral:rRNA from 1 species